rfam:Schistosoma mansoni strain Puerto Rico chromosome 6, complete genome
GCACUGCUGAGGAGUCCCAUAAUUGAACGAAACGGCCUUUCCAGUGC